AGCUUUGCGCAGUGGCAGUAUCGUAGCCAAUGAGGUUUAUCCGAGGCGCGAUUAUUGCUAAUUGAAAAGCCGAAUACAAACAACAGGUGUGCAUACAGUUCCUCUUGCACAAAUGCACACACAUGUGCACAAGUCCGUGGGUGCAAUUCAGAAACACUUAAAAGAGC
rnacentral:snRNA from 1 species